rnacentral:rRNA from 1 species
GACGAACGCUGGCGGCGUGCCUAAUAUAUGCAAGUCGAGCGAAGUUUUUCUGGUGCUUGCACUAGAAAAACUUAGCGGCGAACGGGUGAGUAACACGUAAAGAACCUGCCUCAUAGACUGGGACAACUAUUGGAAACGAUAGCUAAUACCGGAUAACAGUAUUUCUCGCAUGAGAGAUAUUUAAAAGUUGGUUAUGCUAACACUAUGAGAUGGCUUUGCGGUGCAUUAGCUAGUUGGUGGGGUAAAGGCCCACCAAGGCGACGAUGCAUAGCCGACCUGAGAGGGUGAUCGGCCACACUGGGACUGAGACACGGCCCAGACUCCUACGGGAGGCAGCAGUAGGGAAUCUUCCGCAAUGGGCGAAAGCCUGACGGAGCAACGCCGCGUGAGUGAAGAAGGAUUUCGGUUCGUAAAGCUCUGUUGUUAGGGAAGAAUGGAUAUGUAGUAACUAUACAUGUAAGAGACGGUACCUAACCAGAAAGCCACGGCUAACUACGUG